rnacentral:rRNA from 1 species
AGGAUGAACGCUGGCGGCGUGCCUAACACAUGCAAGUCGAACGUCCUGUCUCGCAAGAGGCAGGGAGUGGCGGACGGGUGAGUACCACGUGGGUCAUCUACCGUGAGGUGAGGAAUACCGGCGAGAAAUCGCCGACAAGACCGCAUAGGCUCGAUGCAAGUCGAGCAAAGCUCUUUCGAGAGAGGGAGCGCCACACGAGGAGCCUGCGCCCGAUUAGCUAGCUGGUGGAGUAACGGUUCACCAGGGCGACGAUCGGUAGCUGGUCUGAGAGGACGAUCAGCCACACUGGGAUUGAGAACGGCCCAGACUCCUACGGGGGGCAGCAGUGAGGAAUUUCGUCAAUGGGGGCAACCCUGAACGAGCAACGCCGCGUGCAGGAAGAAGGUUUUCGGAUCGUAAACUGCUUUUCUCGGGGAAGAGAACGGACGGUACCCGAGGAAUCAGCCCCGGCUAACUACGCGCCAGCAACCGC